CCUACGGGUGGCUGCAGUGGGGAAUAUUGGACAAUGGGGGGAACCCUGAUCCAGCCAUGCCGCGUGUGUGAAGAAGGCCCUCGGGUUGUAGAGCACUUUCAGUGAGGAAGAACGCCUGGUGGUUAAUACCCAUCAGGAAAGACAUCACUCACAGAAGAAGCACCGGCUAACUCCGUGCCAGCAGCCGCGGUAAUACGGAGGGUGCGAGCGUUAAUCGGAAUUACUGGGCGUAAAGCGCGCGUAGGUGGCUUGAUAAGCCGGUUGUGAAAGCCCCGGGCUCAACCUGGGAACGGCAUCCGGAACUGUCAAGCUAGAGUGCAGGAGAGGAAGGUAGAAUUCCCGGUGUAGCGGUGAAAUGCGUAGAGAUCGGGAGGAAUACCAGUGGCGAAGGCGGCCUUCUGGACUGACACUGACACUGAGGUGCGAAAGCGUGGGUAGCAAACAGGAUUAGAUACCCGUGUAGUC
rnacentral:rRNA from 1 species